UGGGGAAUAUUGGACAAUGGGGGGAACCCUGAUCCAGCCAUGCCGCGUGUGUAAAGAAGGCCUUAUGGUUGUAAAGCACUUUAAGCGAGGAGGAGGGUACUGGUAUUAAUACUACCAGGUACUGGACGUUACUCGCAGAAUAAGCACCGGCUAACUCUGUGCCAGCAGCCGCGGUAAUACAGAGGGUGCGAGCGUUAAUCGGAUUUACUGGGCGUAAAGCGUGCGUAGGCGGCUAAUUGAGUCGGAUGUGAAAUCCCCGAGCUUAACUUGGGAAUUGCAUUCGAUACUGGUUAGCUAGAGUGUGGGAGAGGAUGGUAGAAUUCCAGGUGUAGCGGUGAAAUGCGUAGAGAUCUGGAGGAAUACCGAUGGCGAAGGCAGCCAUCUGGCCUAACACUGACGCUGAGGUACGAAAGCAUGGGGAGCAAACAGG
rnacentral:rRNA from 1 species